AGAGCAAGAAGAUGAUGCAUGUGAGCCCUGCCCUUGGGAAGCUUCCAGGUUGGGAAAUGAGGAAUGAGCCUGACACCCAGGGCCCAGAGAGACCCAGGCCAGAGGCAGGCCAGGAGGCAGACACGCGCUGCUGGGUAAUGACGACAGCACCAGUAAUCACGGCUACUCCUUGUUAAGUACUUACUAAGUGCAAGACUCCAAGCUAAGCAAUUAAUAGACCUUUUCUUGUUUAAUCCUUACCACAAUUCCAUAAGGUUGAGUAGGAAGUCCUUCUUGAAGUCUAAUCUCAAGAAUUCAUGCCAUGGAUUGGGCCAAUGUUCCACCUUUAUUGGAGUCUGGGGACUUAGGUGGAAAAGGCAGAACUGGCUGGUUGGAGGAGCCACCUCCCUGCAAGGGGCCAGGAGGGAGAUUACAGAGGCGCCAGGCCCAGAGCUCCAACAUGCACCUGCCACAGCUCCAGGGGAGAUCGGGGGCCUGCCAAUUUACCCCGCCCCAUGAUCUCAUGGCUGUGUGUGCCAGGCACUGGCUCAGGGAGCAGCAUCUCACAGAGAAGAUACUUGGAUGGGCCACAGGCCAAAACUGGGCCAAAACCCUGGAGAGGAGGACCUGGCUCAAGGCCACACCACAUUUCCAUGUCAUUUUUCAGUGGCACCAACUGAGCUGGACAGAUGUUCUCACAGAGCUACACAUGCCAUGAUCAUCACUAGUUGCGAGAGUCUCCAGUGUUCAUUAAGCCUAUUUUGCUGGAAGUUUAGUCCCUGGAGGAUUAGUCCCUGCCCUUAAGGAGUGCCAAAGAAGACUUUGGAAUCUAAAUCACAUCUCCCCUGCUGCAAUUUUUUCCUCUUGAUAAUCAAGGAAACUCACUGAUAAAACUCUCAAUGAGGAGCAGCUCUCCCCAUGAGCAAGUUCUUGCCUUCAUUGCCAGGGAGGCCCCAGCUAAGGUUAUACUGGGAAAGGAAUCUCUGGGGAGUACCUGGAAAAGGUCAGCUUCUCCUCAAAGGAAGCCUCUCCAGCUGGUGUACUGCAAAGCCUUCUAAGACCAAGUUCUCUCCUCCUGACCUCUGGAACCAGCCUGUGUGCCAGUGCUGUGUCCCCAGUAACACACGAGUCUCUCCCUCAGAAGCCACAGAAGGAUGCAGAGAGAGACCAACCUGGGAUUGAUUCUCAGCCCUAGCACUUACUGUGUGGACAUAACUGCUCUGGACCUCAGCUUUGCUUUCUAUAAAAUGAGCACCAUUUUAUAGAUAUGAACCCUUUAAGAGAGUCAUAAAGAUUGAAGUUGAUCUGUGCUGCGCCUGGCACAGAGGCCUCCCUCAGUAAAUGGCAGCCGUUGCUAUUGGGGCACCCUAACACCCCUUGCCCCUGCCCACCACUAGCUUUCAUUUAGGCCCACACUGAGGGUGUGGCUGUUGUGUUGGGGGAAGGAAAAAAAACCAUGCCUGGGUUGCAGGGCCCCCACCCCGAACUGGUCUGCUUUUGUGGGAAGCAUUUUCUGAUGCCCUCACCCUACCCCUGGGCUGGUUGACUAAGUGUCCAGCAUCAUGAGGAAAGGAGCAGGGUUCAGGGACAGCUUGGUUCAGCCCUGAAACUCAUCUGGGCCUAGGUCCAGAUGAGAGGCAAGCUUGGAAGGCCUUCCCUUGUACCCUUGCCUGUCCUGCAGCACCCUCCAGCCUGCAGGCCGCUCCUGGGUGGCAUAGCACCUUGGAUGUCAGGUGUGGGCCUUCCCAGGCACAUGGCAUGAGGGGGUACUUCUGUGGGUUGCUGGGGGCAGGAAGGGAUGUGUCUCCAGCUGGAUCUGGGCUCUCCCAUUUUGGGGCCCAGCCGUGCCAGGACAGCACACAUGGGUGCUUAGUGCGAAUCUCAUGAUGGAGCAGAGGAGGAGCAAGGCAAAACCAGGCAGUCCCCAGACCCCUGCUUCUGCCCUGCCCAGAGACAGUGGAGCAGGUGUCUCCAGCUUCUUAACCUCAACGCACAGUAAGAAAUACAUUUUACAGCAACCAACAGACACAUACAUUUACAAAACGA